GUGUACACACACACACAUACACAUAUACACAGGUGUACACACACACAUACACACAUAUACACAGGUGUACACACACACAUACACACAUAUACACAGGUGUACACACACACAUACACACAUAUACACAGGUGUACACACACACAAACACACAUAUACACAGGUGUACACACACACAAACACACAUAUACACAGGUGUACACACACACAAACACACAUAUACACAGGUGUACACACACACAAACACACAUAUACACAGGUGUACACACA